rnacentral:rRNA from 1 species
UGGAGAGUUUGAUCCUGGCUCAGGACGAACGCUGGCGGCGUGCUUAACACAUGCAAGUCGAACGGAAAGGCCCCUUCGGGGGUACUCGAGUGGCGAACGGGUGAGUAACACGUGGGUAAUCUGCCCUGCACUUCGGGAUAAGCCUGGGAAACUGGGUCUAAUACCGGAUAGGACCACUUGGCGCAUGCCUUGUGGUGGAAAGCUUUUGCGGUGUGGGAUGGGCCCGCGGCCUAUCAGCUUGUUGGUGGGGUGACGGCCUACCAAGGCGACGACGGGUAGCCGGCCUGAGAGGGUGUCCGGCCACACUGGGACUGAGAUACGGCCCAGACUCCUACGGGAGGCAGCAGUGGGGAAUAUUGCACAAUGGGCGCAAGCCUGAUGCCAGCGACGCCGCGGUAGGGGAUGACGGCCUUCGGGUUGUAAACCUCUUUCAGCAGGGACGAAGCGCAAGUACGGUACCUGCAGAAGAAGCACCGGCCAACUACGUGCCAGCAGCCGCGGUA